UCCACUUCAUUACAUGAAAAGGUCUUGGAAGCUUCAAGAGCAUUUUUGAUUCCAUGCAGUUAUAAAUUAAAUCGUACAAGUGAUUGCUUCAACAAUUAAAGUGUGCAGUAAAUAAAUAUAAUAAUAUUUCUAUCUUCAUAUUGUGAUUAUUGAAUAAAAUAUCAUCAACACUUCAUUUCUGAAAGAUGGCGAUUUCAACUUGUUGUGGAAUUUGUUCCCUGAGAACUGGAACAAUUGUAAUUGCUAUUUUGAAUCUGAUAUUUGGAGUCUUAUCAUUGAUAAUAUCAUCCAUAAUACUCGUGGACAUAUUCUCUCCCUAUUAUAAAAUCGAACUGAAAUCUCUUGGUGGUGGAUUAAUAAGUUACAUCUUGAUGGUUUUAACACUGGCAUUAGUACUUCUCAUUGGAGCUAUAAAGAGAAAUAUCAAUUUUGUGUUUCCUUAUGUGUAUCUGAGUUUUGGAAAUAUUCUGUUGUCUAUUGGAGGUUUUAUCUCAAUUAUAAUUAAUUUUUGUACGCAACCAUAUAUGCCAGGAAUUGCGAUUUUUUUAAUUUUCUUCAUCAUUGGAAUACUAUUAAGUCUUCAAAUCUAUUUCUGGCUGAUUAUAUUUUUCUAUUACAAACAAUUGAUUGAGGAAGGAAGACAAUCAAAUAUUACUCAAAAUAAUCUUCUUGAAAAUGAACUAUCUUGUUAAUUUGAAUGGACAAAUAUCAACCAACGCUCUCUUUCUGUAAACUUGAAAACUCAAACCUAGAAAAAAAAUGUUCUCAGUUGUAGUUAAGUUUCUAUUACAGUCUCCUUGAGUAGUAAUAGUGCAAAAUUGCAAAUGAUUGGCGCUAAAUCUUAGUAUAUAUAACGUAUUUGAGCUUUUAUACUAGUUAUUUGUACGUUACAAUUGUGUACGCAUAUCCUCCAAAACUAUUUUUUUAAUCAAGAUGAAGCUUGAGAAGUUUUGUGGAUGCUGUUCUUUACGUACAGGAUCGUUGAUCAUUGGAGUCCUCAAUCUUGUUUUCGUUCUUGUAGGAUUGAUAGGAAUAUCAAUUACGAUCGCACGAGUUCAAAAUGUAAUUAACUAUUUUUAUUCACUCCAAGAUGAUCAGAACAUGUACAAUUUUCAAUUAAUAAAAUCUCUAUAUGUCGGACUUUUACUUUACAUUCUCGUAUUGUUAAUGAUAGCCGUAGUUUUUAUAGUCGGUAUUAUCAAGAGACAAUCCUUGUUUGUUCUACCAUGCGUCAGCAUUAGCUUUGUGAAUUUUCUAAUAGCAUUUUCAGCAGACAUUGGUAUUUUAGCAUUAGUAUGUUCAGUUUCACAUCUGCCUGGAGGAAUUAUUUUUUUGACAUUUGUCAUCGUGAUCAUCAGUCUAAGUGUCCAAUUUUAUUUUUGGCUAGUGAUAUUUUCUUUCUAUCAAGAAUUAAUCACUGAAAAAUAUGGACAAAUUUCUGCACAUAGCGACAUUAUUCUCCAUUAGAAUAAAGUCGAAAUAUUCGAAUAAUUUUUCAUGAAUUUUUUUUAAAAAAUUAUGAUAAAUUUGUGUUAUUAAUAUCUGAUAAUAAAUAUUUUUUGUGUAAACAUUUCUCCCUUCCCUAUUGAAAUAAUAAUAGAAAACUAUACGAUCUUCAUUCGAUAUGUUAGAUAUGUCAUUAAGAAUAAAAUGUUUUCAAAUAUCACAAUAAAUUAAACACAUUUUUUCCUUAGAAUUAAUUU